CUAGUCACGGGCUUAGCCCGGGCCUUUGCUGCUUAUCCAAGGCAGCACCCAAGCCAUCUGGCUCAUUUCCAGCCUUGCAAAAAAAUUCUCUAUGGGCACUCUUUUCUAAGCUGGAGGAAUUAGACUCACCACCAGAAGAAAAAGGGAAGAGGGCCAAUUUCUUUCAUCUUCUAGAAGAAUAGAAAAACAACGAAUGCGAUUGCACAAAGUUAUUUGGUUCACCAGCCUAAGGGAUGCAAAUUGGUCCUACUGCCAUUCAGUAUAUUGAAGAAGUCUCUUAUUUGGAAUUUGAAAUUGUGACAAGAAACCCCAUUCUAGGAAGGAAGCAUCUUGAUAAGUGAAAGGGAUUUAUUUUGAUCUGUUUUCUUCUGUAAACAUGGGGCUUGAAUUCAAGGUGCAACGCUGUGCCUUUGGAGAAACCGCUUUUCUCUAGACCUCAGAGAGGAGAGGGACUGAGCCUGCAGCUCUCAGGAGAAGGGGAGAGAGCCCACAAAGGCAUGGGUGGGCGCAGCCUCUCCCGUGCCAUCAGGCCUUCACUGCAUUCUGGAAAAACCACUCUGUAGUGUGGAAGGGAAUGCCAGAGAAUGUGAAGCCACACUUCAGCAUGCUUGGGGGGCCUGGUCAGUGCCCAGUAGGCUGUCAGCACAGGACCCCAGCGUCCCAAGGCUCCUAGCAGUCCCUGAAUGCCUGCUGACGCCUUACAUCACACACUGGCUUCCUCUCCUCCGUGUCUCUCCCAUUCCUCAAGCGCUUCCAGGGCUCACUGUUGUUGAGAGAAAACAAGAUGGAGUAAGACUCGAGCAAGCUGGGACAGGAAGUAAAAAUCAAGCCAAGAAGGAAUUCU